rnacentral:rRNA from 1 species
UCCGUAGGUGAACCUGCGGAGGGAUCAUUACACAAUAUGAAAGCGGGCUGGCAUCCUUCGGGGUUACAGCCUUGCUGAAUUAUUCACCCGUGUCUUUUGCGUACUUCUUGUUUCCUUGGUGGGUUCGCCCACCAUAGGACAAACCAUAAACCUUUUGUAAUUGCAAUCAGCGUCAGAAAAAAAAAAUUAAUAAUUACAACUUUUAACAACGGAUCUCUUGGUUCUGGCAUCGAUGAAGAACGCAGCGAAAUGCGAUAAGUAGUGUGAAUUGCAGAAUUCAGUGAAUCAUCGAAUCUUUGAACGCACAUUGCGCCCUUUGGUAUUCCAAAGGGCAUGCCUGUUCGAGCGUCAUUUGUACCCUCAAGCUUUGCUUGGUGUUGGGCGUCUUGUCUCCAGUUCGCUGGAGACUCGCCUUAAAGUAAUUGGCAGCCGGCCUACUGGUUUCGGAGCGCAGCACAAGUCGCGCUCUCUUCCAGCCAAGGUCAGCAUCCACAAAGCC